GGGCCAAAAGUGGGUUAGCAGCCGAUGUGGGGCUAAGACCACCAUGGGAUUUGUAGGUCGAGAUGAAAAUCGAACGAGCACAAGGAGUAUGGACAUCUGUGGGGAGGAGUUGAACAUCUCAGAAUAUUUUGAUACAGUCACUGAUAUGACAUAUGAUUAAGAGUAAGGAUUGAUCAAAGAUUUUUAAGAAAAAAAUUGUAUUAUCUCUUAGAUUGGCAUUUGAGGUUCGGCAAUUCGACUUCGGCCCCAACUAUACCCAUCUUCGGUAUAGCUUCGGUACAGCUGGGGCUUUCUGGCUAGCUAUGAAUGGAAUUCAAAAAGUACUCAAGGUACAAUGCAUUAGACGAAACCAAAGGCACCAACUUCUUCUAUUACUUUGAGGGGAUGAGGUAAUACCCCCC
rnacentral:lncRNA from 1 species